AACGAACGCUGGCGGCAUGCCUAACACAUGCAAGUCGAACGAGACCUUCGGGUCUAGUGGCGCACGUGUGCGUAACGCGUGGGAACCUGCCCUUAGGUUCAGAAUAACUCCCCGAAAGGGGUGCUAAUACCGGAUAAUGUCUUCGGACCAAAGAUUUAUCGCCUUUGGAUGGGCCCGCGUUGGAUUAGCUAGUUGGUAGGGUAAAAGCCUACCAAGGCGACGAUCCAUAGCUGGUCUGAGAGGAUGAUCAGCCACACUGGGACUGAGACACGGCCCAGACUCCUACGGGAGGCAGCAGUGGGGAAUAUUGGACAAUGGGCGAAAGCCUGAUCCAGCAAUGCCGCGUGAGUGAUGAAGGCCUUAGGGUUGUAAAGCUCUUUUACCCGGGAUGAUAAUGACAGUACCGGGAGAAUAAGCGCCGGCUAACUCCGUG
rnacentral:rRNA from 1 species